rnacentral:rRNA from 1 species
GAUGAACGCUGGCGGCGUGCCUAAUACAUGCAAGUCGAGCGAACGGACGAGAAGCUUGCUUUUCUGAUGUUAGCGGCGGACGGGUGAGUAACACGUGGAUAACCUACCUAUAAGACUGGGAUAACUUCGGGAAACCGGAGCUAAUACCGGAUAAUAUUUUGAACCGCAUGGUUCAAAAGUGAAAGACGGUCUUGCUGUCACUUAUAGAUGGAUCCGCGCUGCAUUAGCUCGUUGGUAAGGUAACGGCUUACCAAGGCAACGAGGCAUAGCCGACCUGAGAGGGUGAUCGGCCACACUGGAACUGAGACACGGUCCAGACUCCUACGGGAGGCAGCAGUAGCGAAUCUUCCGCAAUGGGCGAAAGCCUGACGGAGCAACGCCGCGUGGGUGAUGAAGGUCUUCGGAUCGUAAUACUCUGUUAUUAGGGAAGAACAUAUGUGUAAGUAACUGUGCACAUCUUGACGGUACCUAAUCAGAAAGCCACGGCUAACUACGUG